CAUCAAACCACAAGCUUCCCAGCUACUGGCACUGUUCUGAGAAGAGGGUGAAACUUCAGGUGGAGUCAAGUGGAUGGAAGCCUGGCUUUGAAGGUUGAGAGGACGCUCCUGCAUCGGUCCGCCUUCCAGCACUUCGCCGACCUUCUCUUUUCACGACUUCAUGGAAAGAAAUGCUUCUUGCCACUCCUGCUGACUCGUGCCAAUUUGGUGGAGCCUUGAGGUUUCUUCUGGAUUGAGCCGCUGCUCCUGAUUUGUGCUUGGUGCUUUGGACCAGACUGCUGAUAUCCUGACAAUGGAGACUGGAAUUGCCCCCAAAGAACUAUCUCUAAACAGGCCCACAUCCCCCAUUUCCUAUCAUCCUUUCUUUUCCCCCUACCACUGGUUGGUGUGCUAGCAGGGAGGUUGAAGUGUUUAAGAAGGCUUAUUAAAAAUACAUUUUAAAAGUU
rnacentral:lncRNA from 1 species